rnacentral:rRNA from 1 species
GACGAACGCUGGCGGCGUGCUUAACACAUGCAAGUCGUACGGUAAGGCCCUUUCGGGGGUACACGAGUGGCGAACGGGUGAGUAACACGUGAGUAACCUGCCCACAACUUUGGGAUAACGCUAGGAAACUGGUGCCAAUACUGGAUAUGUGCCCCUGCUGCAUGGUGGGGGUUGGAAAGCUCCGGCGGUUGUGGAUGGACUCGCGGCCUAUCAGCUUGUUGGUGGGGUAGUGGCCUACCAAGGCGGCGACGGGUAGCCGGCCUGAGAGGGUGACCGGCCACAUUGGGACUGAGAUACGGCCCAGACUCCUACGGGAGGCAGCAGUGGGGAAUAUUGCACAAUGGGCGCAAGCCUGAUGCAGCAACGCCGCGUGCGGGAUGACGGCCUUCGGGUUGUAAACCGCUUUCAGCAGGGACGAAGCUUUUUGUGACGGUACCUGCAGAAGAAGCACCGGCUAACUACGUG